AUUCCUCCGGGUUCAUCAUCCCUUCCUCCCGUUCCUCCUGGUUUAUUUUCCCUUCCUCCCAUUCCUCCGGCUUCAUCAUCCCUUCCUCCCGUUCCUCCUGGUUUAUUUUCCUUUCCUCCCAUUCCUCCGGCUUCAUCAUCCCUUCCUCCCGUUCCUCCUGGUUUAUUUUCCCGUCCUCCCAUUCCUCCGGGUUCAUCAUCCCUUCCUCCUGUUUCUCCAGCUCUGCUCCAGGUCUAUUAUCCUUUCCUCCCAUUUUUUCCAGCUCCACUUCAGGUUUCUUAUCCCUUCCUCCCACUUCUCCAGGUUUAUUUCCCCUUCCUCCCAUUUCUCCAGCUCCACUCCAGGUUUGUUUUCCCUUUCUCCUGUUUCUCCAGGUCAAUUAUCCUUUCCUCUCAUUUCUCCAGCUUUAUUUCCCCUUCCUCUCUUUUCUCCAGCUCUGCUCCAGGUCUAUUAUCCUUUCCUCCCAUUUUUCCCAGCUCCACUUCUGGUUUAUUUCCCCUUUCUCCCAUUUCUCCAGGUUUCUUAUCCCUUCCUCCAUUUCUCCAGGUUUAUUUCGCCUUCCUCCUGUUUCUCCAGGUCCAUUAUCCUUUCCUCUCAUUUCUCCAGGUUCAUUAUCUCUUCCUCUCAUUUCUCCAGAUUUAUUUUCCCUUCCUCCCGUUUCUCCAGCUCUGCUCCAGGUCUAUUAUCCUUUCCUCCCAUUUUUCUAGCUCCACUCCAGGUUUAUUUUCCCUUUCUCCUGUUUCUUCAGGUUUCUUAUCCCUUCCUCCUGUUUCUCCAGUUUUAUUUUCCCUUCCUCCCAUUUCUCCAGGUCCAUUAUCCUUUCCUCCCGUUUCUCCAGCUCUGUCCCGAGUUUAUUAUCCUUUCCUCCCAUUUUUCCCAGCUCCACUCCAGGUUUAUUUUCCCUUUAACAGCACAAGGGAGGGGAUGGACACCCCAAAACCCCUGGGUGCCCGUGCUGAGGGCCAGCAGCACCCCUGGGACACUCAGCUGUCUCUCCCCAGCGAUCCCAGAGAGGCAAAAACCACAGAGCAGCACAGAGACCUCUUCCCACAGAGUGAGGAAAACGCAGCAGCACCAGGAAUUCCUGCCACUCCUUUGCCACCC
rnacentral:lncRNA from 1 species